rnacentral:rRNA from 1 species
GACGAACGCUGGCGGCGUGCUUAACACAUGCAAGUCGAGCGGUAAGGGCCCUUUCGGGGGUACACGAGCGGCGAACGGGUGAGUAACACGUGGGUGACCUGCCCUCAGCUCUGGGAUAAGCCUGGGAAACCGGGUCUAAUACUGGAUAUGACUCCAUGACGCAUGUUGUGGGGUGGAAAGCCUUGUGCGGCUGAGGAUGGGCCCGCGGCCUAUCAGCUUGUUGGUGGGGUGANGGCCUACCAAGGCGACGACGGGUAGCCGGCCUGAGAGGGCGACCGGCCACACUGGGACUGAGACACGGCCCAGACUCCUACGGGAGGCAGCAGUGGGGAAUCUUGCGCAAUGGGCG